GGAAAAUCAACUUUUGUCUGAUAUAGGCCUCGCCACCACACCACUUUUCACACUCCAUGGUGGCUCUUCCACAUCUAAUCCACCACCACAAGCCCAACAUCUUGAAACAAAACAAUUACUUGCAAAGCAGAUUGAGCUACCCAGUUUCAAUGGCCAUGAUCCAAUCAAUUGGCUAGCUCGUGCAGAUCAAUACUAUGACAUUCACCAA
rnacentral:misc_RNA from 1 species